AGAAUCAACGCUGGCGGCGUGCCUAACACAUGCAAGUCGCACGAGAAAGGGACUUCGGUCCUGAGUAAAGUGGCGCACGGGUGAGUAACACGUGAAUCAUCUACCUCCGAAUGGGGAAUAAACUGAGAGAAAUCUUAGCUAAUACCGCAUAAUACCUACGGGUCAAAGCAGCAAUGCGUUUGGAGAGGAGUUCGCGGUCGAUUAGUUAGUUGGCGGGGUAAUGGCCCACCAAGACGAUGAUCGAUA
rnacentral:rRNA from 1 species